UGUAAGAGGUUGUCGUGCUUGACCUGUGUAUCAAUUUUCAUGAUGAUAUGACAAAAUUAAAGCCGUCAAAAGGAAGAAUAUAAUUUCAUGGCGAAGGGGCGAUAUUCGGUAUGCUGCCACACAGACGCCAUUACUCAUAACUUGAAACGCCGUAAAUGCUUCUG